CAUACACAGAAAGUUAAUCUGGAGAAAAUUACUAUCUGUAAACUGUUAUAAAUAAGGAUAUUGUAUGAGACAAUGCACCGUACACUCGUCUUUAUUAUAUUCAUUGUACAAAGUACAAUCAAUGGGUGUCCACUUGAAUGCCGUUGCACGGACACGACGGUUGAUUGCAGCAAUAGCAAUCUAAUGACAAUUCCGUCUGACAUUUCUAAUUCGACAACCAAAUUAUAUUUGCAAAACAACAAAUUAACUACAAUACAACAAGGAGCAUUUCAAGACCUACUAGAGU